rnacentral:rRNA from 1 species
UGGGGAAUAUUGGACAAUGGGCGCAAGCCUGAUCCAGCCAUGCCGCGUGAGUGACGAAGGUCUUCGGAUUGUAAAACUCUUUUGGCGGGGACGAUAAUGACGGUACCCGCAGAAUAAGCCCCGGCUAACUUCGUGCCAGCAGCCGCGGUAAUACGAAGGGGGCUAGCGUUGUUCGGAAUCACUGGGCGUAAAGCGCACGUAGGCGGAUGUGCCAGUCAGGGGUGAAAUCCCGGAGCUCAACUCCGGAACUGCCUCUGAUACAGCACGUCUUGAGUUCGAGAGAGGUGGGUGGAAUUCCUAGUGUAGAGGUGAAAUUCGUAGAUAUUGGGAAGAACACCAGUGGCGAAGGCGGCUAACUGGUCCGGUACUGACGCUGAGGUGCGAAAGCGUGGGGAGCAAACAGGAUUAGAUACCCUCGUAGUCCCUGAGCGGGCUGGCAAGGCGCAU